rnacentral:rRNA from 1 species
AGAGUUUGAUCCUGGCUCAGGAUGAACGCUAGCGACAGGCUUAACACAUGCAAGUCGAGGGGCAGCGGGGGAGCAGCAAUGCUCCCGCCGGCGACCGGCGCACGGGUGAGUAACACGUAUGGAACCUGCCCGCAGCAGGGGGAUAAGCGGAAGAAAUUCCGUCUAAUACCGCGUAACACCGCGGAGGGGCAUCCCUCGGCGGUUAAAGAUUCAUCGGCUGCGGAUGGCCAUGCGGCGCAUUAGCUAGUCGGCGGGGUAACGGCCCACCGAGGCGACGAUGCGUAGGGGUUCUGAGAGGAAGGUCCCCCACACUGGUACUGAGACACGGACCAGACUCCUACGGGAGGCAGCAGUGAGGAAUAUUGGUCAAUGGCCGGGAGGCUGAACCAGCCAAGUCGCGUGAGGGAAGACGGCCCUAAGGGUUGUAAACCUCUUUUGUCAGGGAGCAAGAGGCGGGUCGGGACCUGCUGUGAGAGUACCCGAAGAAAAAGCAUCGGCUAACUCCGUGCCAGCAGCCGCGGUAAUACGGAGGAUGCGAGCGUUAUCCGGAUUUAUUGGGUUUAAAGGGUGCGCAGGCGGAGGCACAAGUCAGCGGUAAAAUCGCGGGGCUCAACCCCGCUCAGCCGUUGAAACUGUGUCCCUUGAGUGCGCGAAGGGUAGGCGGAAUGCGUGGUGUAGCGGUGAAAUGCAUAGAUAUCACGCAGAACUCCGAUCGCGAAGGCAGCCUACCGGCGCGCAACUGACGCUCAUGCACGAAAGCGUGGGUAUCGAACAGGAUUAGAUACCCUGGUAGUCCACGCAGUAAACGAUGAAUGCUAUCUGUCCGGCCGGAAUGACGGCUGGGUGGCACAGCGAAAGCGUUAAGCAUUCCACCUGGGGAGUACGCCGGCAACGGUGAAACUCAAAGGAAUUGACGGGGGCCCGCACAAGCGGAGGAACAUGUGGUUUAAUUCGAUGAUACGCGAGGAACCUUACCCGGGCUCAAACGACACAGGGAUGCCGCCGAAAGGUGGCAGUCCUUCGGGACCUGUGUCGAGGUGCUGCAUGGUUGUCGUCAGCUCGUGCCGUGAGGUGUCGGCUUAAGUGCCAUAACGAGCGCAACCCCCAUCUUCAGUUGCCAUCAGGUAGAGCUGGGCACUCUGGAGAGACUGCCGGCGCAAGCUGCGAGGAAGGCGGGGAUGACGUCAAAUCAGCACGGCCCUUACGUCCGGGGCGACACACGUGUUACAAUGGCAGGUACAGCGGGAAGCCAGGCGGCGACGCCGAGCGGAACCCGAAAACCUGUCUCAGUUCGGAUCGGAGUCUGCAACCCGACUCCGUGAAGCUGGAUUCGCUAGUAAUCGCGCAUCAGCCAUGGCGCGGUGAAUACAAUCCCGGGCCUUGCACACACCGCCCGUCAAG